rnacentral:misc_RNA from 1 species
GAUGAAGAACGCAGCGAAAUGCGAUAAGUAAUGUGAAUUGCAGAAUUCAGUGAAUCAUCGAAUCUUUGAACGCACAAUGCGCCCGCCAGUAUUCUGGCGGGCAUGCCUGUCUGAGCGUCAUUUCAACCCUCAAGCAACUUCUGCUUGGUGUUGGGGAUCGGCCGUCAAACGCCGCCCCCGAAAUCUAUUGGCGAUCUCGCUGUAGCUUCCUAUGCGUAGUAGUAACAUCUCGCAUCUGGAGAGCGGCGCGGUCAUGCCGUAAAACACCCAACUUCUCAGGUUGACCUCAGAUCAGGUAGGAAUACCCGCUGAACUUAAGCAUAUCAAUAAGCGGAGGA